AUUGAACGCUGGCGGCAUGCCUUACACAUGCAAGUCUAACGGUAACAGGUCUUCGGAUGCUGACGAGUGGCGAACGGGUGAGUAAUACAUCGGAACGUGCCUAGUAGUGGGGGAUAACUACUCGAAAGAGUGGCUAAUACCGCAUGAGAUCUACGGAUGAAAGCAGGGGAUCGCCAGACCUUGUGCUACUAGAGCGGCCGAUGGCAGAUUAGGUAGUUGGUGGGAUAAAAGCUUACCAAGGCGACUAUCUGUAGCUGGUCUGAGAGGACGAUCCGCCACACUGGGACUGAGACACGGCCCAGACUCCUACGGGAGGCAGCAGUGGGAAAUUUUGGACAAUGGGCGCAAGCCUGAUCCAGCAAUGCCGCGUGCAGGAUGAAGGCGUUCGGGUUGUAAACUGCUUUUGUACGGAACGAAAAGCCCUGGGUUAAUACCCUGGGGUCAUGACGGUACCGUAAGAAUAAGCACCGGCUAACUACGUGCCAGCAGCCGCAGUAAUAC
rnacentral:rRNA from 1 species